rnacentral:rRNA from 1 species
UACGGAGGAUGCGAGCGUUAUCCGGAUUUAUUGGGUUUAAAGGGUGCGUAGGCGGCCGAGUAAGUCAGCGGUGAAAUUUUGCAGCUUAACUGUAACAGUGCCGUUGAUACUGCAUGGCUAGGAUUUGGUUGCUGUGGGUGGAAUGUGUGGUGUAGCGGUGAAAUGCUUAGAGAUCACACAGAAUAUCGAUUGUGAAGGCAGCUCACAAAGCCAAGAUUGACGCUGAGGCACGAAAGUGUGGGGAUCAAA